rnacentral:tRNA from 2 species
GCCGAGGUAGCUCAGUCGGUAGAGCACAGCCCUGAAAAGGCUGGUGUCGACAGUUCAAUUCUGUCCCUCGGCACCA